rnacentral:rRNA from 1 species
AUUGAACGCUGGCGGCAGGCUUAACACAUGCAAGUCGAGCGGGGGAAGGUAGCUUGCUACCGGACCUAGCGGCGGACGGGUGAGUAAUGCUUAGGAAUCUGCCUAUUAGUGGGGGACAACAUCUCGAAAGGGAUGCUAAUACCGCAUACGUCCUACGGGAGAAAGCAGGGGAUCUUCGGACCUUGCGCUAAUAGAUGAGCCUAAGUCGGAUUAGCUGGUUGGUGGGGUAAAGGCCUACCAAGGCGACGAUCUGUAGCGGGUCUGAGAGGAUGAUCCGCCACACUGGGACUGAGACACGGCCCAGACUCCUACGGGAGGCAGCAGUGGGGAAUAUUGGACAAUGGGGGGAAGCCUGAUCCAGCCAUGCCGCGUGUGUGAAGAAGGCCUUAUGGUUGUAAAGCACUUUAAGCGAGGAGGAGGCUACUCUAGUUAAUACCUAGGGAUAGUGGACGUUACUCGCAGAAUAAGCACCGGCUAACUCUGCGCCAGCCGCCGCCGUAA